rnacentral:rRNA from 1 species
CCUACGGGUGGCAGCAGUGAGGAAUAUUGGUCAAUGGGCGGAAGCCUGAACCAGCCAAGUCGCGUGAGGGAUUAAGGCCCUAUGGGUCGUAAACCUCUUUUGUCAGGGAGCAAUGGCGUCCACGUGUGGGCGUAUGGAGAGUACCUGAAGAACAAGCAUCGGCUAACUCCGUGCCAGCAGCCGCGGUAAUACGGAGGAUGCGAGCGUUAUCCGGAUUUAUUGGGUUUAGAGGGUGCGUAGGCGGGAACUUAAGUCAGCGGUAACAUUGCGGUGCGCAACGCCGUAGAGCCGUUGAAACUGGGUUUCUUGAGUGAGCGAGAAGUAUGCGGAAUGCGUGGUGUAGCGGGGAAAUGCAUAGACAUCACGCAGAACCCCGAUUGCGAAGGCAGCUUGCUGCAGCGGAACUGACGCUGAUGCUCGAAAGCUCGGGUAUCGAACAGGAUUAGAUACCCGUGUAGUC